rnacentral:rRNA from 2 species
GACGAACCGUGCGAACGUUGUUCGGAUUCACUGGGCUUAAAGGGCGCGUAGGCGGACGGUCAAGUCAGGGGUGAAAUCUUUCAGCUCAACUGGAAAAGUGCCUCUGAUACUGAUCGUCUCGAGGGAGGUAGGGGCAUGUGGAACUUCCGGUGGAGCGGUGAAAUGCGUAGAUAUCGGAAGGAACGCCGGUGGCGAAAGCGACGUGCUGGACCUCUUCUGACGCUGAGGCGCGAAAGCCAGGGGAGCGAACGGG